UGCCUAACACAUGCAAGUCGAGCGAGAAAGUCCCGGCAACGGGAUGAGUAAAGCGGCAAACGGGUGAGUAACGCGUAGGUAAUCUGUCCUUCGGAUCGGGAUAACCUGCCGAAAGGUGGGCUAAUACCGGGUAAUGUUCCUCUGGAGAUCCAGUGGAACCAAAGGGGGCGAGCGUAAGCAGCUCUCACCGAAGGAGGAGCCUGCGUCCGAUUAGCUAGUUGGUGGGGUAAUGGCCUACCAAGGCGACGAUCGGUAGCCGGCCUGAGAGGGCGACCGGCCACACUGGAAAUGAGACACGGUCCAGACUCCUACGGGAGGCAGCAGUGGGGAAUAUUGCGCAAUGGGCGAAAGCCUGACGCAGCGACGCCGCGUGGGUGAUGAAGGCCUUCGGGUCGUAAAGCCC
rnacentral:rRNA from 1 species